UACAGAGGGGGCAAGCGUUGUUCGGAAUUACUGGGCGUAAAGGGCGCGUAGGCGGCCCUCUAAGUCAGACGUGAAAUCCCUCGGCUCAACCGGGGAACUGCGUCUGAGACUGGAAGGCUUGAGUUCGGGAGAGGGAAGCGGAAUUCCGGGUGUAGCGGUGAAAUGCGUAGAUAUCCGGAGGAACACCGGUGGCGAAGGCGGCUUCCUGGACCGACACUGACGCUGAGGCGCGAAAGCUAGGGGAGCAAACGGG
rnacentral:rRNA from 1 species